rnacentral:tmRNA from 1 species
GGGGACGACCCGGCUUCGACGGGAGUAUUGACGUCUCAGAUGCAUGUCGAGGUGCCACAGGCCUCGUAAAAAGUGGCAACUGUAAUCGCGAACGAUUACGCUCUUGCUGCUUAAUUAAUUAAGCAACACGUUUUACCGGAUUUCGCCCACGGGUCCGGAUAAGACGCCAUUCAGUGGGCUAGGACUUCCGGUCUCGCAGAUGCCGAAAGCCCGAAACAAAAGUCUGCGGAGGGCCCGCGUAGUUUGCCGAUGGACGCCGCGAGCCCAAUCCAAAACACCGGCUACACA